rnacentral:rRNA from 1 species
CCUACGGGAGACAGCAGUGGGGAAUAUUGCACAAUGGGGGAAACCCUGAUGCAGCGACGCCGCGUGAGUGAAGAAGUAUUUCUGUAUGUAAAGCUCUAUCAGCAGGGAAGAAGCAAGACGGUACCUGACUAAGACGCCCCGGCUAACUACGUGCCAGCAGCCGCGGUAAUACGUAGGGGGCAAGCGUUAUCCGGAUUUACUGGGUGUAAAGGGAGCGUAGACGGUAUGGCAAGUCUGAAGUGAAAGCCCAGGGCUUAACCCUGGGACUGCUUUGGAAACUGUUAGACUAGAGUGCGGGAGAGGUAAGUGGAAUGCCUAGUGUAGCGGUGAAAUGCGUAGAUAUUAGGAGGAACACCAGUGGCGAAAGCGGCUCUCUGGGCUGUAACUGACGCUGAGGUUCGAAAGCGUGGGUAGCAAACAGGAUUAGAUACCCUUGUAGUC